CUGUGCCAUCAUGGGGAUAAGAGAAUUGUGAGGUAGCAGUGCUAUUGCUGGGGCUGGAGAACUGUGUGUGUUACAGAUCUACAACAGGAAUAUCCCAACUGCUUAUUGAGGUUCUACUACUCUACUCUCCACUGAAGUUAUGACUCAGCACUAGAACUUCAUAUAGAAUCAUAGAGUUUUUACAGUGCAACAAAAACCCUUUGGCCCGUCCUAUCUGCACCAGUCAUCAAGCAUCUAUCUAUUGUAAUCACAUCUCCAGCACUUGGCUAGUAACUGUGUACACUAUGGCAUAUCUGGAUGUUUUAAAGCAGAGCCUUUUUGUGAUGGAUCACCAUUUCCCCCAUAUAUAGCCCAUGGCAAAAGGGAUAAGCAGUGUUAGAAACGCAUAUUCUUAUAAGACCAUAAUAUGUGGGAGCAGAUACAGGCCAUUCAGUCCAUUGUGUCUGGUGCACCAAUCAGUUGGAUCAUGGCUGGUCUAUUCUAAUCUAAUGGAUUAUGAGAAUUGGAAAUAGCAAAUUUGGAUAAUUCCUAGGGGGCAAAGUUUUACCAUAGGACUUUUUGGAACCCAAAAAUCAAUGGAUCAAGAAAAACUGGGGAUUGUCUGCUGUUCAAGAAAGUCAGCAGACUUUGCAGAGAAUACAAGUCAAAGUUGCUAAGACAGAGACAAAAGAUAGGGUUUAUUAUUGUAAUUGAUGGACAAACAAGCUUGAAAAAAGCUGUAAAGAUCUGUGCUGUCAUUGCCUAACAACAGCCUCUGCACUGAUAUUUGUGUGGAUUUUUCAGUAUAAAUCAAAUAUGGCUCUGCUGGAGAGGUUUGCAAAGAAAGAAGCUCUCUCAUUCUUAACAAAGUAUUUGUGAAUCAAAUAUCAGGGUUCUUAACUGUUUCCAGCUGAAAUCUGGGCCGAAAAUCUUCCAUUACUCUUCAACCGACAACAAUCAGAUUGUCAACAGAUAUCAAAAGAGUUGUAGAAGUCAACUUAUUUCUACGUUCUGCAUUCAAACCUUUGACAGACAAGGACAUUAUUCCUUUAAUGAUUCUUUGCCCCAUCCACAAUAGCCCUGAAGAUCUGUGACAUCUUGUCCUAUAUAUGAAUAUGUGUGUGUUUGGA